UGCGCGUCAGCUUCGCUUCCCAACGUCACCCCGCUGCAAACCCAUCAGUCCGGUAUCACACACCCAGGACCCAGUAGCCCUCCAAGAGCCCCACCAGUGAGCACAGGAGACCCGGGGAUCAUCUGGAUCCAUAGAUCAGAGAGUGAAAGAAAGAGAUUAGAUUUAAUGAAGUGAUGCUUGUAACACAGCUGAAAACUUACAAACAUCUGGCUCUUUCCCCCUGCGAAGCACACCUACAUCUCAGUAUGAAAACA
rnacentral:lncRNA from 1 species